rnacentral:tRNA from 1 species
GGGGUUGUAGCUCAGCUGGGAGAGCGCCGCGUUCGCAAUGCGGAGGUCGAGAGUUCAAAUCUCUUCAGCUCCAC